UGGGAUGUAGCCAAGUGGUAAGGCACCGGGCUUUGACUCCGUGAUCGUAGGUUCGAAUCCUGCCAUCCCAGCCA
rnacentral:tRNA from 1 species